AAUAAAAUGUGGACUUUUUUUCUGGAUGUUUUGGUUAGCAUUUUUAAAAAAUUUUGUGGCUCAAGUGGGGCAAAGGAAAUACCCUUUUAAAACUCAGGCAAACUGGGUGUUUGUCUUAGAACCUGUCAGAGGAAACAAAU
ensembl:snoRNA